UGGAUCACCUCCUAACAGGGAGACAACAAAAUGUUUAAUAUUAUUAUUUUGUCACCUUAGGUCGAUCGGUAUCUCACGUUCUUAAUUUAUUAAGAAUUUCAUUUCCAAAGUUUUUCUAGGUCACACCCAUUAUUUUUCCUGGGCCAUUAGCUCAGGUGGUUAGAGCGCACCCCUGAUAAGGGUGAGGUCCCUGGUUCAAGUCCAGGAUGGCCCAUAUCUCUAUGUUGGGGGUAUAGCUCAGUUGGUAGAGCGCCUGCUUUGCAAGCAGGAUGUCAGCGGUUCGAGUCCGCUUACCUCCACUGAUUACCACCUCUUCCAUAACCGGUAGAAAGGAAAUUUUUUGAGUUGUGAUCAAAUUCUGAAAGAAUCUAGCUUCCUAAUGAAAUCAUUAAGAUGCUGGACUCAUUGAAUUAAUUUCAUUGUUUUCAGAGAACCUUGACAACUGCAUAGAUUAUUUUUAAAGACAAUAAGCAUCUUUAAUGAUGCAGAUUUAUUAUUUGUGCGAAUGCAUUAAUAACAAUUCUAUUAAGCUGAUGCUUCAAUUUUGAAGUUAUUGGUCAAGCUACAAAGGGCUCACGGAGGAUACCUAGGCACACAGAGGCGAUGAAGG
rnacentral:tRNA from 1 species